GACGAACGCUGGCGGCGUGCUUAACACAUGCAAGUCGAACGGAAAGGCCCUGCUUUUGUGGGGUGCUCGAGUGGCGAACGGGUGAGUAACACGUGAGUAACCUGCCCUUGACUUUGGGAUAACUUCGGGAAACUGGGACUAAUACCGGAUAGGAGCUCCUGCUGCAUGGUGGGGGUUGGAAAGUUUCGGCGGUUGGGGAUGGACUCGCGGCUUAUCAGCUUGUUGGUGGGGUAGUGGCUUACCAAGGCUUUGACGGGUAGCCGGCCUGAGAGGGUGACCGGCCACAUUGGGACUGAGAUACGGCCCAGACUCCUACGGGAGGCAGCAGUGGGGAAUAUUGCACAAUGGGCGGAAGCCUGAUGCAGCAACGCCGCGUGCGGGAUGACGGCCUUCGGGUUGUAAACCGCUUUCGCCUGUGACGAAGCGUGAGUGACGGUAAUGGGUAAAGAAGCACCGGCUAACUACGUGCCAGCAGCCGCGGUGAUACGUAGGGUGCGAGCGUUGUCCGGAUUUAUUGGGCGUAAAGGGCUCGUAGGUGGUUGAUCGCGUCGGAAGUGUAAUCUUGGGGCUUAACCCUGAGCGUGCUUUCGAUACGGGUUGACUUGAGGAAGGUAGGGGAGAAUGGAAUUCCUGGUGGAGCGGUGGAAUGCGCAGAUAUCAGGAGGAACACCAGUGGCGAAGGCGGUUCUCUGGGCCUUUCCUGACGCUGAGGAGCGAAAGCGUGGGGAGCGAACAGGCUUAGAUACCCUGGUAGUCCACGCUGUAAACGGUGGGUACUAGGUGUGGGGUCCAUUCCACGGGUUCCGUGCCGUAGCUAACGCUUUAAGUACCCCGCCUGGGGAGUACGGCCGCAAGGCUAAAACUCAAAGGAAUUGACGGGGCCCCGCACAAGCGGCGGAGCAUGCGGAUUAAUUCGAUGCAACGCGUAGAACCUUACCUGGGUUUGACAUGGAUCGGGAGUGCUCAGAGAUGGGUGUGCCUCUUUUGGGGUCGGUUCACAGGUGGUGCAUGGCUGUCGUCAGCUCGUGUCGUGAGAUGUUGGGUUAAGUCCCGCAACGAGCGCAACCCUUGUUCACUGUUGCCAGCACGUUAUGGUGGGGACUCAGUGGAGACCGCCGGGGUCAACUCGGAGGAAGGUGGGGAUGACGUCAAGUCAUCAUGCCCCUUAUGUCCAGGGCUUCACGCAUGCUACAAUGGCUGGUACAGAGAGUGGCGAGCCUGUGAGGGUGAGCGAAUCUCGGAAAGCCGGUCUCAGUUCGGAUUGGGGUCUGCAACUCGACCUCAUGAAGUCGGAGUCGCUAGUAAUCGCAGAUCAGCAACGCUGCGGUGAAUACGUUCCCGGGGCU
rnacentral:rRNA from 1 species